rnacentral:rRNA from 1 species
GACGAACCGUGCGAACGUUAUUCGGAAUCACUGGGCUUAAAGGGCGCGUAGGCGGACCGGAAAGUCAGGGGUGAAAGCCUCCAGCCCAACUGGAGAAGCGCCUUUGAUACUGCCGGUCUCGAGGGGUGCAGGGGCAUGCGGAACUCAGGGUGGAGCGGUGAAAUGCGUAGAUAUCCUGAGGAACACCGGUGGCGAAAGCGGCGUGCUGGACACCUUCUGGACGCUGAGGCGCGAAAGCCAGGGGAGCGAACAGG